rnacentral:rRNA from 1 species
UACGUAGGGGGCAAGCGUUGUCCGGAAUCAUUGGGCGUAAAGCGCGUGUAGGCGGUUCGGUAAGUCGGCUGUGAAAGUCCAGGGCUCAACCCUGGGAUGCCGGUCGAUACUGCCGGACUAGAGUGCGGUAGGGGAGACUGGAAUUCCUGGUGUAGCGGUGAAAUGCGCAGAUAUCAGGAGGAACACCGGUGGCGAAGGCGGGUCUCUGGGCCGUAACUGACGCGUGAGGAGCGAAAGGCCGUGGGGAGCGAACAGG